rnacentral:lncRNA from 1 species
UUCUUAGAAAUUUCAUCCUCACUGCGCUCAUUAAAUUUGGCACUGGUUGUAGCUGCAAUGGCAUUGCCAAGAUUAGUGAUACCACUUCCCUUAACAGAUAGAGCUGAUGGUGGCAUGGAUUUCUCCAGAGUAGGGUUCAGAACAGGAGGCCCCUUCACCCGCUGUUUUGAUAAUGCUACAUUAGGUGAAGGUUUAGACAUGGGACCCUUUUUCAAUGCCAAGCAGUCAGAUGAUCCCUUAACAGAUGGAGCUGAUGGUGGCAUGGAUUUCUCCAGAGUAGGGUUCAGAACAGGAGGCCCCUUCACCUGCUGUUUUGAUAAUGCUACAUUAGGUGAAGGUUCAGACAUGGGACCAUUUUUCAAUGCCAAGCAUUCAGAUGAGAACCUGCUACUUUUUGGAGCUGAUGCUUCUUUUGACAGACUCUCCUUUGAUAAGCCAACAUUGGAUACAUCAUUUUUAGUUACAGCAGCAGAAGCAACAACACCUCUUAAACUUUUCUCAACUGGUCCAUUUUGAAUGGUUUCCUUUAGACCUUGACUUACACUGGAAUAUGUUUUCUUUGCUAUGGCACUUGCAACCAAGUUUUGUUUCUGAACAACAUCAAUGGAUUUCUUUGGAGUGAAGUUUUUUCUAUCACGAACAUAAAACAACAUGUAGGCCUUCUGAUCUAAAACAGUCCUCUCACUAACCUGGACAACCUGCAUGCCAAAUUAGGGUAAAUCAUAAGGAAGCCACCCCCCUAAGUAGAAAAUGAAGGUGCACACAUUAAGAGGUGUCCAACCAGUGUAUGGAAUCAUGAAUCUUUUUUUUUUGCUUUAUACAGCAUUUUAAGGCAUAAGCGCUCUCCAGAAUGAAGUCACCAAUAGAUGAAGACAUGAAAUAUGAGGCCUUCACCAAUAGAUUAUUCAUGUGUGAAAUGAUAUGUUUAAAACUAAAGGGGAACUUGAAGUUGUAAUACUAAACUCCAAGGGGAAGCCUAAAUUAUGUUGGAAAUUACAAGAGGUGCAUAUAUAUUUAAUAGGUAAAUUUUUUCCCAUUGGGACUUGAACCCGGACCCUCCCACAAACCCUCCCCAUACCUUUACCACUUUAGCCAAACCUCAAGGGCUAGGUAGUCAAGCUCAUAUUUAAAUAACAUUUUUUAAAAUCAUAAAAAGAUCGUACCAUAAAAUGACACAUUCAUUUCAAAUGGAAUGAUGUCAUCUGUGCAAGGUUUACAAGCAUACUCCCAGAAUAUCCAUGAAUAUAGACUUGAAAAAGUUAAGUUACUUCCUACCCGAUUGUCAUCAAGGGAGUACCACAUGCCAGUUGAAGUGCGAACAAAGCAGUAAUAGUGGCCUGAAUGGGUGCUCCAACCGGCAUGAACCAAAACCCCAUAAAGAGUAUACUUCAAAUUUUCUUCCUGCCCAGUAUAGAAAAUUAACCGUAAAUAAAUAAUACAACAGCACAAGCUGCAAGUUACCACUGGCACAAACAGAAAUAUCAGAAUGGCAAACAAAACAACAAAUUCAGUGCAUAAGAAGGACAAAAAGUUCUCAUUAGGUGGUAGCAACUGAGUCCAUCAAGCAUACAGGACACAUGCGGUUAGAUAAAAUCUGUCUACAUAUAUGACAUAUGGAAAGUAAAAAUUAAUGUUAUAUUGGUACCACCUAACAAUUUGGUAUGGAAAAUUUUGAUACAAUUAAUAAGCCUGAUAAUCUGCAAGAAAUCUUUUGGAGUCAAAUUUUAAUUUUACUUCAGCCAUCAUCAGUGAUAAUAAAGCACCAUUGAGCACAUAAAGGGUUCUACAUGAGAUUCGGCAAACAUAAAAUCCAGAGCACCAAGUACUUGCCAUGUGCCACUUUUCCAUUGCAUACCUAACUCAUUAUUAAUACAAUGGCACCAGGGGCUUAAUUUUCAUUUUUGACUUUGACCAAACUUUCCAACAGCUAUUGAACUGUUACAUAGAAAUGUUUUUGCAAAAUGGAUAAAAACAGCUUCUUCAUUGAGAACAGAUGAAAUAAUGAAGAGAAAAAAUGUCAGGGACACCUGCAGAAAAUUUUUAAGAAAGGCAUAGAGAAGUGCCCCCAGUGAAUUUAUUUACAACUAAAAUUAAUUUUUUGAUGCACUUCUCUGACCAUUUGCAACCUGCUUAGCCAAACUAUUUCAGCCCAUUUUUUCCUUCAUCAUCUGUAUUUAUUCAAUUUCCGGCAUUCUGAAAUAAUUUUUUUCAAGGGGUACAUCCUGUUUCCAUAUCAUGAAUUGUUUUUCAAACUCACUUUCCUCUAGGGAAACUACUAUUAGUAAAAAUUAGAUUCAAACUGUGGACCAUGUGCAACAUGUGAAAGUUGACCAAGUUUCCAAAAUCAGUUAAAUAGGAAAUUAAAAAAUGUCACUCACAUAGGAACCACUGACAAAAGGUUUUAAGUCCAUUGUAGGACCAAAAUGAACUUUCUUAUCGAUCUUUUGUCCAGGAUCAUGUGCACCAAACCGCUUUAGAUGGAUGGUCAGAACAUAAGGUGCCUUGUGAACUGUAAGCUGUUUGAGAGCCUUAACUUUCUGUUUGCACCGCUGACAUUGGUACUGUCUCUCACCACCAUCUAAUUGUUCGGUUGCUGUGAAGUGCAUAAGGGCCUUAUGCAAGGAAUCUGCUUUGAAUAUUUCAAGACUCAAAUCUAGAAAUGGAUCAAAUUUGUUGGAGCAGUAGGAGCACUGCAUGCAUUUCACCUGAAAAUGCAACAAGUAGCCAUCAAAGAAUGAUAUAAUAGGAGCUUCCUACAUCAGAACAUUUUAAUAGCAUUGUGGAGUCCCUUCUAGAACUUUAUAGCUUAUUCACAAGAUCUCAAGAAUAACUCCCAAUUCUGGAUUUUUCUUAGAGGUAAAUAAUUUCUGUUUGCCAACUUUGUCAUUGUGCUCCAAUGGCAACUAAAGGUUACCUGACUACGAAGGAGACCACCAAAGAUCUUGUGCACCAAACUUUUCUCAUAAGCACUAGGGGAUUCACUUGGCACACCUGAAGGUAAGCAACAUUUGUGCAUUGUUUCGAGCAAAUUUACCAUAUACUCAUGUGCAUCCUCCUGUCUCGCAUUUCUGAAGUUCCGAGAUAUGCCUAAUUGUACAGUUAAGAAUCACUAAUUUUGUGAGAUCAGAAUAACAACAAAGGCCUUAUACGUAAAGAACAGAGUAAACCAUUGAGCUAUACCCUAAGAGAAUCUGACAUGGCAGGACAUGUCUUCCAGCACUGUCAGGUAUGUCAGGAAGUUGUGUCUUUCACUGGGAGCUCAUUGGAAUCAGAAAUUUUAAUUUUUUGAUAAAUAAAAGCAAAUUCACUAAAGGUUCCAUUAGAUCUCAAGAAAUUGUAGCUAAGGGGGGAAAGAGGAAGGAAUUUCAAAUUCUUUUAUUUUAUUUCUCACAAAAAAUAUGAAGGAAAAUAAAAUAUGAUAUAGUUUUCUUUUUCCUUGACUUUUCUUUCAUUCUCUUUUUCCUCCUUAUUAGCUUUCCUUCAUACUGUCUCAAGUUAUGCAUGAUCCAAACUGACCCUAAAUGUGCUAAAAAGGGAGGUUUCUCGCUACACCUGGUUUGUAUCUAGAUGUUUGAAUUUAAAUCCAUCGAACAAUAAGGAAACUUGCUUAGCAUUGUUGAUAACUUGCUAUAUAUAAUUUAGAAGAAGAAAAUAUGGAAAAUCCAAAAGGAUGUUAAGAACAAAUAACAUAAAUUGAAGACAUGGCACUUAAAUUUUGGAACCUAAACACCAACCUCCUCUGUCGACAUACGACCAAAAAUAAAAAUAAAGGGGGGAAAGAAAAUCCAAGGAACUUAGUUGAUGAGUAACAGAAAAAGACAAUCAAUAUGACAAUAUCAUUAAAUGAAGAUACAUAAAGUGCAAUCACUAUGACACUUCAGAAAGGAUACACCGUAAGUUAGAGACAAGAUCCUUGGGUGCUAAUAUUCUUCCAGUUGACUGAAGAGCACGGCUGACAUGCUUCUGGAUGGCACAUAAAGCACAAAAUCCAGCAAUAUGACCUUCAUUCACAUUAAGAAAGACAUUAGAAAUAAAGCAUGGCUACAACAUAUCGACCUGCUAAACUCAGGUUCAAAGUGAAACAGAAUCACAAAUUAGAUAAAUAACAAAAGGAUACAAAUACUACAAAAUAUAAUUUAGAAAAAAUAGAACAAGGGGCAAAAUUAUUAACAGAAUCUUAGUAAAGAUAGUUCAAUCAAGAACUUGUGUACUCAACCUAGAUUAUCUUGGUUAUAGGGGUUGCAAUAAAAACAACAAAUAGAGAAAUUGGCCAAAAUAAAAGGACAACAUGAAAAAUACAUAAUACUUCACUAAUAAUAUAUGACAGUGCAUUUUUCAUGUAAAUGAUAUAACCAACACAUAUCGCAUCUUGAGUGUACCUAUACAUUUUUCAUAGGCAAACAAGAAUAGUAUGACAUAAAAGAUGAAAAGAAAAGAAGCACAAGAGAAGAAAAGAAGCACACUGCAUAAUGCUUAAUAAACUCCCACCCCCUGCACCAAUGAGUAAAACAAGGAAAAGAACACUUUCCAUCCUUCAAGAAGGCUUUCAACCACUUGCAUAAGGAUUUCAGGAAAAAGAUGUUUCUGCUUCAGGUUCAAUAGCUUCAUUCCUUUAAAAAUCCUUCAGUUCCGCAUUCCUUCCAUGAGCACAAAAAGAUUUUUGGACUUAUAGAGGACCACCAUCAAGGACAGGGCGUUGAGAUUUAUCAGAGUCUACCAAACACCUCCUCAAAGAUUCCAUCCUCUUUAGUGUGCCCGGGAUGUCCAACAAGAUCUCCAAGGAAGCUGCAUUGAGAGCUUUUUCCCAACUAAGUUGUCACAAACCCAAUCUUCACCACUUUGGCCUAGAUGUGGGAUUGCCGCACAGACAAGCCACCUCAUGCCCAGGAACAGUACCUUGACCCAACACGGUUUCCAAAUGAUUCAUGGAAACCCAGGUUUGAGGUCUUCACAUCUAUGACAGCCCACCCAAACAAGUCAAAAUCUUUUCCCCAAGUAAUGAAGAGACAUCUUGCAUCCUUAGAAAACACAGAGAGCAGCAGGAUCCUACCAGCAAAAUUCUUUUUCAUGUCCACCCAAUACCAUCUUUCAGCUCUCCAAAGAAAUCCUUCUCUGUGUCCACAUACACCACUUGUCCAACCAUUUUAAUAACCAACCCAACCCCUUAAUUUCUCUAGUUGGUCCACCUCAAAUGACCUUUCCCCCUCUCAACAAUUAUUCCAACGACACAACUCUUCACUCCUUCCACUUCAAGCUAAAAGAAUUUGGUCUCAGCUUAAACAAGACCUUCUCCACCACAUGUUCACUUCAAAAAGUAUGAUACGCGAUUGAUGCAAUAUGAACACGUGUGACUAUAUUUAAUAGUUUUAAGAAAAUUCAAAAUUUUCUCAUUUAAAAAGAACNNNNNNNNNNNNNNNNNNNNNNNNNNNNNNNNNNNNNNNNNNNNNNNNNNNNNNNNNNNNNNNNNNNNNNNNNNNNNNNNNAGCUUCUUCAAAAUUUGGUCAGACAACUCUUCCCCUUGGAAAGCCCUUCUAUUUUGCUUUCUGGGAUACACCAAAAAAGACAAAUUAGAGCCAAUCUCCAAACUGCUCUUCUCUUCUUCCCUAGCUCCUUAACUUUCCAUUCUAGAAAAAGAUUUCUUACUUAAGCCAGGAACACCCACACCAUUCCGAAACAUGUUAACUACAAACUCCAAAGCUCCCUUGUCUUAUCACAAUGAAUCAAAAUGUAGUUAGUCAAUUCUUCACUAUCUUUACAAAGGCUACACCUAUUGACCAUGGACCAUCCCUCUUCAAUCUGCCUUUGUCUAUCAAAAAAAAUAAAGUGAGGAAAAAAACAUGUGGCGAGAUUCAAAUACAUAACCUUUCAUCAAACAAGGAUCUGAUACAUGUUGAAUAAUCAAUUUUUCAAAAGGCUUAAGCUAGUAGGAUUUGGACUCACAAUGUAUAUCAUACACUUCAACAAAAGCCUAGUUAUUUGCAAGCAUAAUUUUAACCUUGAGGAGAUGAUGAAUUAGCAAUGCAGAUUUUUGCUUAAUAAUCAACAUAUGCCCAUGGAACCAACAUAAUAAAUGAUAAAUAGCUUCCUAAAAAAAAUAGCUUACAUGGAAUGUACAUGCAUGAUGAAUACCUGUUUGUACACAACUAUGACUUUUCAUUUUGGAGAUAUUCAUGAAAUUGACAUGAGUUUGACAUUUUUGGACACAACUGUGAUUUUUCAUUUUAUACUUAAAAAAAAGGAAGUAGUUUGAUAAAAUUGGACAAAAUAGAUAAGAUAAAAAGAGAAGCUAGAGUCUAUUUGUUAAUUGUUCCCAAAAAUAGUUUUUUGUUUUUAAAAACAAAAAUUAGAGUGUUUUAUGAGAACACUUUUUAGUUUUUUUCACUUGGUUUUGAAAAAAUAAUUAUACAAUUUUUUUUUUUUUUUAUUUUAUUGGAAACGCCACAAAGAUAUAUUGAUAGAAAAAAGAAGUACAAGAAGAAGGAUGAGAAAUCCUCCCACCAAAGACAACUAAAUUACAGGAAAAUACACAUAAAACAAACGAACUCCCACUAAGGACCAAUCCCUAUGGAGUACACACUGCUAUCCAAUCCAAUUGAAUCACAUUAAGGGAAGUCCCCUUAAAUGCCUUGGAACAAAAAGCCCAAAGGGAAGCAAGGAAAACAAUAGAGUCCCAAAGGAACUCUGAAUUCCUUGUUUUAUCCUCGAAAAUCCUUGCGUUUCUUUCCCACCACACAACCCGAAUUAGAGCUAUGCUCGCAGCUUGCCACAAAACUAUCCCUCUCUUAGAAUUACCGAAGCCUUUAAAUUUGAUGGACAUCAUGUCAUAUAUGCUCCUUGGGGGAACCCAAUCCAUCUUAGCUAACUGAAAUAACCUGUGCCACAACCCAAUCGUCAAGGAACAAUGAAGAAAAAGAUGAUCUGUUGUUUCCCCGUGCUUCAUGCACAGGAUACAAAUAUCAGGACUAAGGGCUUUGUAGGGUUUUCUCACUUGUAACAUGUCAUUAGUAUUCACCUUCUUGUGUGCCACUAACCAGACAAAGGACUUCACUUUCAAAAUAAUUAUACAAAUAUGGAGAAUGAUUAAAAAUAAAGCACCACAAAUAAAAAUUAUUUUAAAAAAAAUUAAAAUAUAGAAAACAGGUUAAGAAGAUUUUAAGUUCCCAAUUUGUUCUACAAAACAUCAUAGAGCAAUUUUCAAAAAUAGUUCUCAAAAACUGUUUUCAGAAACACUUCCCAAAUAGAGCCUUAGACUCUCAUUCCUAGUUAAGCACCAAGCAUGCAUGUAGACAUCCAAAAAAGCCACACACAAAUGUAGGAGAGCAAGCCAACCAUCAUAGAUUUGGGAUUUGUUUCUAAAAUAAACCAUGCAGGAAGUUCCCUAACCCCUUCUCGCAUGGAUAGACAUGAAAUGGAUCAAAUUGAGAAAGGCCCCAAAUGACAACCAUAGUGACCCAGGGACUCACUGAUAGCCCUUCCAAGCAGUUAAUUAGCUUAGUGACCUGGGGACUACAUCAAAACUUCAAGCACAUUACUAUGUCUGUCCAAGCUCAAUCAAUUACAACGUCAAUUGUGCAAGAACAACUGAAAUAUGUUAACUAAGAUAAAUUCAAAAUUUUAUUCACUUUGACGGAAUUUAGAUAAAUCUUAAAAUCCUAAAGUCGUGAACAGGAAGAGUAGAACAAGGGUCUGUUAUAAAUUUUAAAUUCUUCACUCAGUACUCCACUCCAUCGUGCCCUCAAAGGAACAAUUCUGGAACAAGUUAAUCCAUGAAACCCUACAUGUUUACAGCAUGCAUAGAGGGAGUUGGGAAUGUUUGAGCACAAUUCUGUUUAUGCAUAUAUGGGAUUUAGGGGUAUAAGACUUAUCAGAUUCCAUUGUAUGAACUUCUAGUAUCUCCUCUAUACAUAGCAUAAUACUUGGAAUAAUUCCUAAUGAGGACACUUAAAAACAAAUUGAAGUCUAAUGCAAAAUCUAUCAAAAGCAUGAAGUAGAGAAUAAAAUAUAACCAAUUUCAAGAAAAACGGUAGGAUUUAAAGAGUUAAAACUAUGUCAUACCAUAUGAAAAAAUCAAAUACUAGAAUUUUGAAAAGUUCAAUCUAAAAAAACAUGAAUUUAAUAUAUAAAGCCAUAUGUGUGUGUGUGUGCGUGCAUGCGUGCGUGCGUGUGUGUGUGUGUGUGUGAGAGAGAGAGAGAGAGAGACUUACAAGAAUUUUGAUGCUUUCCACUUUGCAAAUAUGCUGCUAAAGGCUCUGUGUAAGUCAGGCAUUGCAAUACUGAAUUAAGAAAACAGGUAUUUCCCAGAUUUUCCAAACCAGCACCCUGUAAAAUUAUUUAUGCCAUGUACAUAGUUAAGCUAUUGCAUAACUCCAUGGUACCAAGUGCAAUAGAAUUGAAUAAAGACCUCAAAUUCAACAAAAUAACUAAGUUCCAAAUAAAUUUGAAUUGAACCACCAACUCAACAGAAAUCAUACAACAAAAGGAAAUCAUUGAUCUAAAGAGGAAAUGACCCAUAAAGAAGUUGAUCAGAAGCAAAAGCACAACAAUAUUCAACAGUUGAAACAAAUUCAAAUGGAACAAAAUUUACUCAACGGCAGAGCACAUGUCAACAAGAAGACUAUUACUAUCAAACAAUAGCUUCAGAAAUCGACAUUUAACUGAAAUGUGAGAAGUUAUACAUAAAGCCACUGAUUGAAGAAAAAGCUUGUUUAUUUAUUUAUUUAUUUUUCAAAAUAGUACAGAAAUCUCAUCUUUCUUAUGGUUGAUGACUCAAAUACAUUGAGUAAUAGAGUGAACAAAACCACAGUCGAUUAAAAUAGGAAAGAACCUAAUAAAUAUUUUCACAAAUGGUUGAAACUUGAAAGAAGAAGACACAGUGAACAGUAGAGCAUAUACCAAAAGAAAACAACUUGUGCAAAAUCAAACUCAAUAAAAUAUUAAAAACCCCAUAGAAUUAUAGAAGACGUUUUAAAAAAACUCAAAUUGAAGAACAAUCGCUAUGAAAUAUACCAUAUACAGAAAAGGAGAUGAAAAAUAAUUCAAUCAAAACCUCCCAAACUUCUAACACUAAACAAAACCCAUCUGAAAAGCACAUACACCCAUAGUAGAAAAAAUCGCAAACCGGAAAUGAUUUCCCAAAGAAAACGAAAAGAGCUUACAAUUCUCCUAACUGUGAUCCCAAUACUGAGCUCCGGAUCCAACCCGUUCUCCACAUGAUCAGACCCAUCUUGCUUCUUCCCACUCGAAGCCGCCGGACCCGUACUGUGCCCAGACCGCUUCGGAUCCGUGGUGGGGUUCAGAGUCUCUAGUCGAAAACCUCCGCUGCCAUUGGUGAAGCCAGAGUAAGGCUUCCUUGUGAGAUGAAAAUCGAUUCUUCUGUGGAACAAAGACCCAGCUGAAGACGGGUGCGGCGAAGCCGAGGGACCAUUUUCCUGAGCAUUGGCUUCUGGGUUGGAGAUCAACGCUUCCGCCAUGAAACCUCUGUAAUUGAGUCAAUAGAGCUCCGAGAAUUGGCCUUCUAUUCUUUCCAGACUCUUCUCCGUCUUUUGUAUGCGCUUGGUGUUUCGGCUUCUGCGAAAGAGAGAGAGAAAAAAAAAAAAAAGAACGAUGCUAUUAAACCCUACACUCCCCCCGAGUCGGCAUUUUAUGGUUUAUAACUUUAUUCUAAGGAUGAAAAUAUCGGUUUCAUUUGACGGCGGUGAAGAAUUUAGGAUUCAAACUUUUCUUUCGUUUUCUCAGUACACAAACGACUGUAUAUAAUCUAGAAGGCCAUUGAACUAACUGGGAACAGAGAUUGGAAGAGUACCUUGAAGGCUUGAACUGAGAGAUGGACCGAAAGCUGCGUUUGGAGAAGGAAUGAAUGAAUGCUAUGGAGCAAAGAGAGAUGCUGCCAGCAAACCCUAAAGCGAGUAGAAUGUGAGCUGGGUGAGGUGAUACAGUGAUAUUGGGCUGGGCCUAGGCCGGCCCAAUCUUACCAUAUAACAAAACCAAAAUAUAAUUCACACCCAAAAUUUUGAAUUCUUGGUUUCAUUGUCUUAUUUCAAAAUCAUUUUAUCUUAUUUUUAAAAUUUCUUGUUUCAUAUUGUUGUCAUUAUUAUGCUUUGAGGUUUCAAUUUAAGAAAUGUUUAUAUAUAUUACCUUAUUGUAAUUAUUGUGCUUCUAAUUUCAUAGCGUGCAUGACACAUUUUGUUUCUCCUAAUCGUAGUAUAAAUGUAAUUAAAUAUUAGAAGAUAUAAAAGUUUGUUUUAAAAACAAUUUUUUAUUUCUAAAAAUAAAAAAACGUUUUUAAAAAUUCAUAACACUGUUGUACCAUAAUUAUAUGGAAACAAAUUUUAAGAACAAAGUGAAAUAAAAAAUAGUUUAAGAGAACAAAUAUAAAUUAUUUUUAUUAGUUUUUUUUUUUUAAAAAAAAAAAAGAAAACAUAUAAAUUAAUAAAAGAUAAAUAAAAUCGAACAUGAUAUCAUUCUCUUUCUCUUCACAAUAUAAGAAUCUUAAAAUAUGAUUUAUUUUUUUUACAUUUUACAUUUUUUUUAUUUCUUUUAAAUGCUCUAAAAUUUUGUAUUAAGUAAAUAAAUUUUAAAUCAAACUCCACAUGAUACAUAAAAUUUAUUAAUUUUAAAAAAUAAUUUGAAACUUAAAAACAUAUUUAAUUAAUAUUAAAAAGUUAUAGAACUCAAUAAUAUUAGUGAGUCAUAUACCAAAAUUUAUUUUAAAUGUCUGGAUUAGUUUCUUAAUAUGUUGGAUUCAUUAACAAGUUUAAUAAUUUUUAAAAUUAACUUAAAAUACAAAUAAUGAUCCAACGGAUACAAAAAAUCUAUAAACAAAAAUUAGUUUAAAAUGAUUUACAUAUAAUCAUUAUUUUAUAUUUUUUUAAUAAGACAAAUAAGUUUUGAAUUAAAAUCAAAUUCAUUAAAAGUUUAAUAAUUUUUAAAAAUAAUUUGAAACUCAAAUAACAAACUCAUUAAUACAAGACAUUUUAUGACUAACAUUGGUUUAUGAUGACUCUAUUAUUAUUAUUAUUAUUUUUACACGUAAUUAUAUUUUUAUAAUUUUUUUCGAAACUUAAAAUGAAGUGAUAAUCAAGUGAUACUUUAUAUUAAAUUUAUUAAUGGGUUAAUAAAUUUUAAAAAUAAUUUGAAAUUCAAACAAUAGACUUUGUCAUGUUUAGGAUUUACUUUAACUAAUAUAAUUAAAGUGAACUUCUUAUCAAUAAGUUUAAUUUAAUUAUAUUGAAAAAUAGGGAUGACAACGAGGUUGGUUUGAGAUAGAUCGUUCUCAUCUCAACCUCGUCUUAUUUAUUCAAAAUAAUUCACAUCUCCGUCUUAUUAAAAAAUUAAACAAAAUAGGACACAUAUGCAGAUUUCUUAUAUCUACCCUUUUCGUCUCAAUUACCUUUUUUUUUUAAUUUUUUGAAUUUUUUAGAAAAUAUUUAUUUUUUAUUUUUAAUUGCAUUAAAAUAAUAUAUAUUAUAUAAAUAAUUAAAAUAUUUAUAAUUUUUAUAACAAUUUUAUUAAUAUUUAUUAUAUUAAAAAUAGGAAAAUAGAAAUUAUUUUGUAUUGUUUGUUAAGAGUUGUUUUAAAAAAUAAUUUUAGAAAUAUAUAAAAUAAUUAAAAAUAAAAUACUAAAUAAAAAUUAUUUGUAAAACAUAUUUAAAAUAUUUUAAGUUUCAAAAAGAUUUUUAUUUUAUAAAACAUUGCAGUGUUUUUUAUAACUGUUUUUUGAAAUAGUUAGCGAACGGUCCAUAAUAUUUCCGACAAAAAUGGGACCCACACAUACUAGAGGGUCAAUGAAUGCACGAGUACUCCUAUAGAAUGAAGUAGACUUGGACUUGACUUUGAAGCAGCGGGGACUACUGUAGGAUUGCUGAUGGCUACCCACUGCUAUGUGCUGGAAUUACCGUAUACUCCCCAUGUUCCGAUAUAAGAAGAACCGACCGAAAAAUCUUAGGCUAGGGUGGCCUUGGUCACAUGGCCUAUCUAAGAUCCCUAAUGGCUUUCGCCGUCUUUCUACUCGAUCCCUCCCCUGGCUUUCCUCCCAGGAAUCUUGCCGGCUUUCCUUAUAACUUUAAAUUAUAUUAUUUGGUAACUUUUGGUAGAAGGUUCUUACGGACAAGAAAGGCGGGAAUACCGAUCUAGAUUAUAUUGAAUAAAAAAUAUAUAUCUUAAAAAAUAUUUUUUAAUAGGAUAUAAUAUUAAUAGAUAUUAAAUUAAAUGAACGGGAUAAUAUUGGAUAUUAAAUCAAAUAGGUAUGAUAUCCCAUGGUAAUAUAUUUAAUAUGUAGUUUUUAUAUUUAGUUUGUAAAAUAAAUAAAAAUAAAAUAGAACAUAUAUUAUUUUUUAAUGUUUAAAAUAUAAAUUAUAUUACAUUUUAAUAUUUUAAUUUUAAUAAUAUUCAUGAUUAAAAUAUUUAAAUUUUAUAAAUAAAAAAUUUUAUAUUAUGUUUUUCAAUAUAUAAAAAUAAUUUUUAUAUAUUGAAUAAUAUAUAUUAAUUUAAAGCCUUUAAAUAGGAGUUGAAAGCCCAAACUAAUCAUCAGAUGCGGUUUGACUAUGUUUGGUUCUCUAAAGGUUUGAAGGAAAAUACGGAACAAAGAAAAUAAAGAAGAAAAUUNNNNNNNNNNNNNNNNNNNNNNNNNNNNNNNNNNNNNNNNNNNNNNNNNNNNNNNNNNNNNNNNNNNNNNNNNNNNNNNNNNNNNNNNNNNNNNNNNNNNUAUUACUUUAAUUUUUUUUUCACUUAUUUAAGUCUUCUAUAUAAAGAUUAAAUAAUCUAAAAAUAUACAAAUUUCUCAAUAAUUUUAAUUAUAUUUUACUUUCUUUCACAUUUUCCAUAACAAAACCAAACAUAAGAAAAUAAUUUUCUUUAACAUUUUUUUUUCCUAAUACUUUAUGGGAAUCAAACAUAGCCUUUGAGAUUGACUAAUUGAUCAACUAGUUGAACCAAAUACUAGCCAUUGAGAUUACCAUUGCUCAAUCCAUUCAAUUAACCCUCAACCGGUCCUAAACAUGUUAAAUACAUACUUCUAGAAAAGAGAAAAUGCAAGUGCACAUCCACCAAUUGAGCCUAAUUGGCUCAACUGAUUCCUCCUACUUCAACCACUUGCAUUAUAAAAUGUAUUAAAAAAAACUCUGAUUUGAGGCUUAGAACCUUUGAUAACUUGUAUUCAAUUUCUUGAAGUCCAUUACAACAAGUUUAGGAAGAAUUAAGUUCUAAGGAUUUUUUUAAAAUAAAAAACAAAAAAAGGAAAUUGUACAAUUUAAAAAAUAAAAAAUAAAACCAAUUUAAGCACUUUGAUGAUUUUAAGUGUUUAAAUAAAAAUGAAAUGCAUGGUCUUAAUACACCAAUACCCUUAUAAAAGAUCUUAGAUAAAUGGUUAUCAUUGAUCUUCUCUUCGAGAUCUUUUCUUUCCUUUUUAAUUAAAAAAAAAAUUCCCUUUUGGCUUGACAUAUCUUCGAUUGCUUCAUUAAAAAUCUUUUGACCUAAAUACACUAUUAGUUUCAAACAAAUUGAGAUUAAGCAUACCUUGGUUUCACACUUUGAUUGCUUAAACUUGUUAUCAUUUAUAUGAAUGAGGAUCUUGGGUUCUCAAAUUGAAUUCAUAAAUGUGAUUGGAAAUCAAGGCAAAGUUUCAGUAGCAAGAUCAAAUUUAGACUUUGUUUGAAUUGAAUUGUCUAUGAUGUUUUUAUGCUUUAUUUGGAUUCAUUAAAUUCAACAGGAAAGGACUAUGGACUACUGGACUAGGGCAGCAACAAUAUUCUUGGAAAUGCUAUGCUUUGGAACAACAAUUAGCUUUGAAGAUAACUGUGAUAUCACACAUCGGAUAGGGGAGAAUGUUCUUGGCGCUAUAUAUGUAGAGACUCCUCUUGACCAAGUAGACGUGUUUUAAAACCGUGAGACCCCCUUUGGGUCCAAAGUGGAUAUAUCUACACGGUUGGGAACAUUACAACAACACUCUUUUUCUCAUGAGUUGUGCAAGACUUUGAAGAUAGACAACAACACUCUUUUUCUCAUGAGUUGUGCAAGACUUUGAAGAUAGACAUGGAGGGUAGUUUCUUGUUCUAAGUCUCUUGAAUUUGUGAUUUCUUGCAUAUAAAUGGUGGUGAGCAUUAAAACAUGGGACCACAUUUAUGUUCAUGUAGCAAGAAUGUUGGAGUUUUCACACCAAGUGGAAACAGUGAAUCUAUCAGUUUGAAUGUGUAGCUUGGAUCUCUCAAUUCUUACAUCUCUCCCAAGAUUUUCCAAUUUUAUUCCAUUUUCCUUCUUUUUCUCUCAAAUUUUCCCUUUCAUCUUCAAUCAUUUUCUAUCUCUAGAAGACCUGUGCUUCGAACUAUCAAUUCAUUGUUGGAAGUGUUUGGGACGUUGUUGAAAGGUUCUUUUCGCAGAGCAAAAAAUGUGCGUUCUUCGCUUGGUUUGUUAUCUGUGCUAAAUGGAAGGCUGGGGUUGUUCCUUCUUCGAGUUUCGGUGAAGGUAUGCGAUUAGUCUCUUUGUUUGCUAACAGUUUGAUGGAGAGGAAUGGAAAUGCAUAAGAUUCAAGACCCUGAAGUUCUUCUGUUCUUCUAUGCGUCCUCUGCAACCAAUUGGGUAAAUGGCUUAAUUAGUGACAUAUAUUGUUGCUGAUAAACAUGGAACCCACACAGAGGUCACUGCAUACAUCAGUCCAUGGACUCCGUCAAGGAGAAAACACAUGGGGAUACAAAGUCAAAGAAGCUGGCGCAGCAGAGAAGUAGACUCCAGACAAUGAGUUUAAAUUGGGUGUCAUGUGUAAGCUGUUUGUGAUCCUCUUCAAGCCUUCAUCUUCGCUGUCCCAUCACUUAUCCAUUUUCUGAGCUGUGUGAGACUCUAGUCUUCUUGCAAAUCUAGUCUUCUAUGUGAGUUAAAUUCCCAUCUAGCUGCAAUUACAACAUAUGCUACUAUUCCCAAUUUUCUUGAUUUCAUUCUAUGGCUAAAUCCAACAAUUCUCUCAUGUUUUACAGAUGAGCAAACCAGAUAUGAUGAACAAUAACUGCCUUGGAUGGGCAGCAAGAGACGAAUCUGGAGUUCUAUCGCCUUACACAUUUACUCGAAGGUACAUAUAUGUAGCAGUGCAAGCUAAAAAAUGUUUCAAUGAAUAAAAUCUUCAUAGUUUCUCACCGACUCUCUUGAUUGACAAAACUUUGUACAGGGAAGUUGGGGAUGAGGAUGUUUCACUAAAAAUUACACACUGUGGAAUAUGUUAUGCUGAUAUGCUCUUUACCAAGAAUAGGUUGGGAGACUCAAGAUAUCCGUUGGUUCCUGGGUGAGUCUUUGGCUUUGCAUCUAUAAUUCAAACGACAAAUUGUAGGUAAUCUUUUUGUUUGGAAUAUGUACUAGGCAUGAGAUUGUUGGGAUUGUGAAAGAGGUUGGUUCCAAUGUUCAUCACUUCAAAGUUGGCCAUAGAGUUGGAGUUGGAGCAUAUGUCAAUUCAUGCAGAGAAUGCGAGUCUUGUAACCAGAGUCUAGAAGUUUAUUGCUCGAAGGGAUCAGUCUAUACAAGUAAUGGGGUUGAUGCCGAUGGCACGAUUACAAAUGGAGGAUAUUCUAGUUUCAUUGUCGUCCAUGAAAGGUGAUCAGCUCAAUAUUAACCGAUGAUUAUCUCGAGUUCUUCUCCAUUUUUGUAUCAUUUGGACUUCUUUAGAACGAUGAUCGAAGGACUUUAAUUUACCAUUGGACUUCAUUGAACGAAACUAUGCAUACUUUGAAGCAAAAUUAGGCUAAUUAAGAGUGAGGGCUGAUUUUUUUCUUUUCUUUUCUUCCUGGUUUUGGUUGAAUCAACAGGUACUGUUUCAGGAUACCUGAUGAGUACCCAUUAGCUUUAGCAGCACCCUUGCUAUGUCCUGGAAUUACUGCCUACUCUCCCAUGGUGCGCCACAAGAUGAACCAACCUGGUAAAUCUCUAGAAGUGAUUGGGCUAGGUGGUGUUGGUCACUUGGCUGUCAAGUUUGGGAAGGCUUUCGGAUUGAAUGUAAAACUUUUCAGCACAAGUAUAUCCAAGAAAGAGGAGGCAUUAAGUCUGCUUGGAGAUGACAAUUUUGUGGUCUCAUCAGAUGAACAACAGAUGAAGGUAAAAGCCCUUAAAACCUAUGCAAGGUUUGGGGUUUAAGAUAUCGGUAAAUUGAUGGUGAUUAUCUUGUAUAUAUGCAGGCAAUGGCUAAUUCACUUGACUUUAUAAUUGACACUGCAUCUGGGGAUCACUCACUUGAUCACUAUAUGUCAUGUUUGAAGACUGCUGGUGUCCUAGCCCUAGUGGGCUUCCCUGGUGAUCAAAUCAAACUCAGUCCUGCAAGUCUCCUUAGGGGUAAAUUAUACAUUCAUCAAAUUAAUUUUUUUUUCAGAAGACAUAUAGUUAAGUUAGAAUACUGAUUGAAUAUUUGUGGGGCAGGUAUGAAAACCAUCUCUGGAAGUCUAGUAGGUGGUGUGAAGGAGACUCAAGAAAUGUUGGAUUUUUGUGCUGCACACAAAAUAUACCCAGACAUCGAAAUAGUUCCAAUCCAGUAUGUAAAUGAAGCUUGGGAGAGGCUGACAAAGGGCGAUGUGAAGUACCGGUUUGUAAUUGAUGUUGAGAACUCCCUGAAGUGAUCACAAUAGAGUGGAAGAGGAACAUGAUUUUUCUGAUUACCCUAUGGUGGGGCUUUAAUCAAAUACAUAGUGAUUCAAGUUAUUGAAUGAUCAUCAAAUCUAUCAUAUAUAAGAUGAUCCUUUUUUUGUUAAGUAGGUUUGAUCCUUUUGUAAUCAGUUACAGUUUUCAACAUAAAAUAAGUGAAAAAUAAUGUUGGAUUGUGUUCUAGAUGUUGAUGAUAAACUAAUGACUAAAUUUUUAAUACAAUGGUUUUUCUAGCUUAUCGUUCUCGGUUUCGCAUGGUAGAUCAUGGAUAAAAAUGUUUAUGAACAUGGGAAUGCCCAACAAAAGAAAUGCCUGAUUUGAAAAGAUGUUCAAAAUAAACUUUUGGCAUAGGUGGAUUAAAGAAUUCAGAAAAACAGAACAAUCCACAGUUGGUUGGUAAUUAGCUUUUUUUUUCUUUUGAUUUUUCGUUUUAUAUAUCAAUAAUUCUGACCUUACAAUCAAUGAUAUUUAACAAACAUAGAUCCAGUUUUGAAUUAUUAGUUAAAUACUUGCACAUGUCAUGUGAAAGUGGUAUAAUCCUCGUUUGACCAUGUUCUUUAAGUACUGGCAUAUGCAAGGAACCCACACAGAGGUCACUGCAUACAUCAGGCCUUGCACCGAGUCAUAAGGAAACAUGACCGCAGCCUGAUUAUAUUACAUUGUAAAAGAAGCAGGUUAAACAAUCAAGUAGACUUCAUUGUGCAUAUAUAUAUAUAUAUGAUCCACUCCUUGACCUGAGACCAAUGCUUCUUCACUGCCAUAACUGUACUGAUCUCUAGUCUUGCAGGUAAAUUUCUCUCCUCUACUGAUGUUUGUCUCCAGCUUUGUACUAAUCUUGAUCAUAUGUUUCUCUGGUGAAACCAAAUUAAUGCAUGCCUUGGCUAUAACCAUGACCAUAUGUGUGUGUAGAUCAUAUGAUGGAGAAUUGUCUAGGAUGGGCAGCAAGAGAUCCAUCUGGGGUUCUUUCACCUUAUUCAUUUAACCGCAGGUAACAAAUUCGUUGGCGAUAACCAUACAUACUUAGCAUAUAGAAAUUAAGUUCAAUUCACCUAUCCUUUUAGGGUAUCUAGAACUCAAGUAUAUUGGACUGAAUCAAUUUUAUACAGAGUUGUUGGAAGUGAUGAUGUUUCUCUGAAAAUCACCCACUGUGGGAUCUGCUAUGCUGAUAUAAUCCAUACCAGGAACAAAUUUGGAAACUCAAAAUAUCCUGUAGUUCCAGGGUAAGUCCAUGUUUUGCACCUAUGAUUAAAAUAACGAAGGGGGUAUUUGUCUCCUCGGCUUCUCGUCUUCUUAUCCAAUCCAACUUAAUUUUACUAAUCUUUGCUUGGAUUGGUUCAUGUAAUCUACCAUGUAUUUAUGUUGUGCAUACAAGACAUGAUAUUGUUGGUAUAGUGAAAGAGGUGGGUUCCAAUGUUGGUGUCUUCAAAGUUGGUGACAGCGUAGGAGUGGGAACAUAUGUCAACUCAUGUAGAGAGUGUGAAAACUGCGAGGAGGGGCUAGAAAUCCAUUGCUCAAAGGGCCCAGUCUUCACAUUUGGUGGGGUUGAUGUGGAUGGCACCAUCACAAAGGGUGGAUAUUCCAGUUUUAUCGUUGUUCAUCAAAGGUGAGAGCCCUCAAUAUCUUUUGAUUUUGUUACUGUGGCUGAAACUUUCCUAUAUGAUAAGCAUGGACAACUGAAAUCAGAAUUAUUUUAGGUUUCCAUGGGGUGUUUAAGGAAGCAUCCCUUGUGCUUUGAUGUCCAUAGUGCGACCAAAAAGCUAGAAACAAGGACUAAUAUGUUGUUUUCAUUUUUUCGGUUUGGUUGAAUUAACAG